rnacentral:lncRNA from 1 species
CUGUGGCUGCCACUGCUCUCUGAUCAGGCUUCCCAACAGGUAUUACUGUUAGGAAAAGCUGUAAAUUUGCUUCCCUGCAUGGCUCGACUGGUAGAAUGGGUUCUACAUUGGAUAAGUCCUGUUGACUGGGGACACACAUCAGGCAUAACUGCCAACUGAAUUCCCUGGUCAGGCAAGGCCGCUGGCUCAGCUCUGCAGAUGGUCAGAGCCAUUGGUUGGAAUCUUUGCUCUGGCAUCAUUGCAAGCAGGAAUGUGAUCUGCCAAGAUCUGAGCAGUGGUUGCUGUAAGCUCUAGUCUUCUGUCUUUAUCUUAUCCCCAGUGGUUGAUCCUCACAGAUUCUCCUAUUAAUCCCAGUGACAUAAGUCCCGACCCAAGUGGGCCUCCUGGGAAGCAUCCUGCAACACUGGGCAAGCCAAAUGUUCACCUUGGGUUCUCUUUUUCCCACUGGAAAAACCAUGGGCCCAGGGAGCCCUCUUCAUGUGGCUCUAUGUCAGCCUGGGGGAUAGGUAAUGCUGUUAGACUGUGGGUCCUCCUCUUAGCAUUCUAACAUGGUCCUUCUUGGUCUCUGUGUUCCAGGGGGUUGCUUCAGCAUCACUCUUGGUUUCUGGGAUUUUCUUAAUGAUGUCUUAUCUAUGAAUAAUUGUUAGCUGGUCUUCUUGUGAGUAGGACUAAAGAUGGGAAUGACCUAUAUCACCAUCUUGAUGAUGUCAUCCCUUCACUUUUAAAGAUACAUUUUAUUAAACAAGACCUUUAAGGAAAACUAAUUUGAAUUUUUUUGUUAAAAUAUGCUUAGACAUGCAUAAGAAAAAGGAAUUUGGGGGCAUAAAAUAUUAUGAACAGUAAUUAUGCCUUUUUUCUUUAUAGUUCAAUAGCUAAGGGCACAGAUUUGAAUCUAUACUACAUGGGUUUAAAUCCUACCUGUGUUAAUUGCUAGCUGUAUGACUUUGGACUGUCACUUAACUUCUCUAUGCCUCAGCUACCACAUAUGUAAAAUUAGGAAAAUAAUAUUAUCUACCACAUACAGGUUCUUGUGAGAAUUAAAUUAGCUAUUAUGUAAGUAGCACUUAUAACAAUGUCUCACACAAAUUAAGCAUUAUUUAAGAUCAUCAUAUUCUGAGUGAAAUGAUUUCAAAUCACUUUUCUGAAAAUAAGUAGGAAAAUAAUUUGUCUUUUGGGACAUCUUUUUCCCAUAGUUUAAAAAGAAUUACAAGUGAAGACAAUAAUGCAAAACAAUGGACAAAAUUAAAAACUGGGAGCAGAUUAUAGAUGGUUAAUGUGAAAAUGACCUCAUAGUCUUUAUGACAACAUGAUUUAUUUUGUAAUUAGACUUAAUAUACAAUAAAUAAAUACUCCCGAAUGUGUGUGAAGAUGUGGUUGCAAAAAUAGUCUUCCCACAGGAUUGGUCUUCAUAUGAAAAAACUGGAAACAAAAAUCCACUAGGAGAAUUCUUGCCAUGGUGCAGUGGCUUAAAGGAUGUAGCAUUGCCGCAGCUGUGGCAUAGGUCACAGCUGUGGCUCUUAUUUAGUCCCUGGCACAGGAACUUCCAUAUGCCAUGGGUUCAGCCAUUAAAAAAACCAGUAGGUAAAUCAUGUGGUUUACAAAAAUGGUGGCCUAUAGAUAACAUACUAUGUGACAACUGCCAACAGUAUCAGGUAAUAUUAAUUGACAAGUAUAUAUUUUUGAGCUAUUUAGUUUUAAAAAGCAGAUAUUAGAUUAGUAUUUCUGAAGAUGCACAUAUAGAUGUAUGCAUCUAAUAAUAUGCAUAUAUAAAAGUGUGAAGGAUUAUACAAACACAUUUUACAUAUUCUAACCCAAUGGUAGAAUUAUGGUUAUAUUCCAUGUUAUUCACUCUAUUUAACAGUAUAUUAUGAUUUUCCUAGGAUUUCUUUACAUAGCAAACAGAAAUUUAAAGAAAAAAUAUUACACCAAAGAAAAUUUAAAAAUAUGAAUUCUAAUUUAUGCACUGAAAAUAUAUCACAGUUUAAUAUAAAUUCUAAUACCCAAUUCAAAUCCCUGAGCAUGUAAAAAGAAUGGAAAUAACAGAAUGAUGGAGUAAGUUAACAUUAUAAGUGGAAAUUUGGUUCUAUACCUGUUUUAAAUUUAGACUAUGGACAAAUAGUCUGAAAAGUGCUCUAUAAUUUUUUUUUUUUUUGCUUUUUUUCUAGGAGUGUUUACUAUAGAAACAGUUAUGGAUUUGACUGUAAAUUUAGGUAAAAUGUAGUUGACAUAGUGGUCAGAAAUUAAAAGAGAAUUGAGAACAAAGAAAAUAUCUAACAAUGUAGGACUUAAGAAAUGAAUUGAUCCCUAUACACACUAGACGUUCAAAGACUAUUUUUAUUUUAUUUUAUUUUAUUUUAUUUUAUUUUAUUUUAUUUUAUUUUAUUUUUUAUGGCCACUUCUACAGCAUAUGGAGGUUUGCAGGCUAGGGACUGAAUCCAAGCUUCAGCUGAAGGAAUGCUGGAUCCUUUAACUCACUGAGCUGGACUGGGGAUUGAACCUACAUCCCCACAGCAACCCGAGCCACUGCAGUUGGAUUCUUAACUCACUGCACCACAGAAGGAACUCCCAAAAAUCAUUUUAAUUGAUGUGAAGAAAAUAAAAAUAAAUGAUGUGAAAAUAUAAACAUGAAAAUGUAUCCAAGUUUAUUUAUCCUGAAUAAGCUUUUGAAAAAUGUAAAGUAUAAUUUGAUACCUUAUAUAAAUAAAUUUUUUCUCUGCUGGGUCACUUUAUUUGUAAAUAUUGAAAUUAUAAUAUGUAAUAAUUAUGAAUUAUGCAAUGUAAUAUGAUAUAUACCUAUAUGUAUACCUAAAUCUUUUAGAUCUAUUCUUUAUAUUAUCAAUGCUACUUUUAUUUUCUUUUGCCUAUCAAUGCUAUGUGACUUUUUAAAAUGAAUUUUUUUCUUGAAUAACCAGCAAAACAAAAUUUUUUUUAAAAAAUUGAAAAAGGAAAACAAAAAAUGAGGUAUUUUUAUAGCAUUAUAUCGGUAAAAAAUAAAGUUUGUAAUAUCCAGGGAGAAACUUGUGCAGAAAAAUGAACAUCCUCUCAAAGUAUUAGUGGAAGCACAAAUUGGUAUAUUCAGGCUACCUGAUAGUACAGUUUAAGAGAAUUUAGAAGGUCUUUACUUUUAAAUUACACUUACAAGUAUUUAUGUAGGUACAAUAAUUCUUCAGGAAAAUUAUUCACAUAGAUUUGGAUUUAAUGGGGAAAAUUUAGAAACUACUUUAAAGUCCAAAGUAAAGAAACAUUUAAAAAAUUCUGCUUGCCCAAUAUAAUGAUAAUGAGUUGUGGGAGAAUGUUGAAUAGCCAAAGAUGCUCUAGACAUAUUUAAAAUCUAUUGAAAAGGAACUUUUGACAGAGUACAUUCAGUAUGAUCUAUAUUUGUUUAAAAUUUUAUGGAUAAAUAGGCAAAACUGAAAAGGCAAAAAAUUAUCUCUUUAAAAUGGUGGUUGUGUAUAUUUAAUAUGCAUGUCCUCUUUUAUAAUCAAGGCACUU